GACGAACGCUGGCGGCGUGCCUAACACAUGCAAGUCGAGCGAACAGACCCGGAUCUUGCUCCUCUGUCGUUAGCGGCGGACGUGAGAGUAACAUGAGGAUCACCUACCUAUAAGACUGGUAUAACUACGGGAAACCGGAGCAAAUACCGGAUAAUAUAUUGAACCGCAUGGUUCGAUAGUGAGAGACGGUUUUGCUGUCAGUUAUCGCUGUAUACGGGCGGGUUUGGCUGGUUGUUAGGGUAACGGGUUACGAAGGCAAGGAUGCGUUGCCGACGUGAGGGGGGGAUCGGCGACAUUGGAGCUGAGACGCGGUCCAGACUCCUACGGGAGGCAGCAGUAGGGAAUGGUCCGCAGUGGGCGAAAGCCUGACGGAGCAACGGCGCGUGUGUGAUGAAGGUCUUCGGAUCGGAAAACUCUGUUAUGGGGGAAGAACAACUGUGGAAGGAGCUAAGCACGUCUUGACGGUACCUGAUCAAGAAGCACCGGCUAACUACGUG
rnacentral:rRNA from 1 species